rnacentral:rRNA from 1 species
UACGGAGGGUGCAAGCGUUACUCGGAAUUACUGGGCGUAAAGCGUGCGCAGGCGGUUUGUUAAGUCUGUUGUGAAAUCCCCGAGCUCAACUUGGGAAUUGCAAUGGAUACUGGCAGGCUGGAGUAUGGUAGAGGAAGGUGGAAUUCCCGGUGUAGCAGUGAAAUGCGUAGAGAUCGGGAGGAACACCAGUGGCGAAGGCGGCCUUCUGGACCAAUACUGACGCUCAUGCACGAAAGCGUGGGGAGCAAGCAGG